CCUACGGGUGGCAGCAGUCGAGAAUCAUUCACAAUGGGGGAAACCCUGAUGGUGCGACGCCGCGUGGGGGAAUGAAGGUCUUCGGAUUGUAAACCCCUGUCAUGUGGGAGCAAAUUAACAAGAUAGUACCACAAGAGGAAGAGACGGCUAACUCUGUGCCAGCAGCCGCGGUAAUACAGAGGUCUCAAGCGUUGUUCGGAAUCACUGGGCGUAAAGCGUGCGUAGGCUGUUUCGUAAGUCGUGUGUGAAAGGCGCGGGCUCAACCCGCGGACUGCACAUGAUACUGCGAGACUAGAGUAAGGGAGGGGGAACCGGAAUUCUCGGUGUAGCAGUGAAAUGCGUAGAUAUCGAGAGGAACACUCGUGGCGAAGGCGGGUUCCUGGACAUUAACUGACGCUGAGGCACGAAGGCCAGGGGAGCGAAAGGGAUUAGAUACCCCUGUAGUC
rnacentral:rRNA from 1 species